rnacentral:lncRNA from 1 species
GGUUCGUCCAAGUGGAACACACCUGCUCACCUGCUAAAUGUGCCAGGUACCUUCCAACAUUGCAUUGAUUUCAUUUAAAGGUUGGUGGCUGAGAGCAGCACAUGUGUGCUGGCAUAUCUACUACAUGAGAUAUAGAGGGGAGGAGACUGAAUUAGUGGGAUUCCAUCAAGGCCCAAGCUCCUGAGUUGGCAGACGUGGAGUUAAAUCCCUAAAUCAACAGAAACCCAAGCCACAGCAGGUGGGAAGGGCUAUGGAAAUGAAGCAGAGAGUUUGCCUGAAGGCUCAUUCCAGAGUUUAUGUGGUAGAGCACUGUAAACUACCCAGCUGAUAAACAGAAGGGAAAGUAUUGAUGUUAUCAGGAAGGACACAAAUUCAGGGGCUUUGAAGAAAGUAGGGCUGAUAGCAAUGGCUAGUUUUCUCUUUGAGGUUUUUGCUUUGUUGUAUCCUAAAUAUAACCUUAGUUAUCUGCUUAUGUGGGGAGGAAAUUUAGGAUUCAGCUUUUUAGUAAUAAUGAUAAUUCAUAUGUCUGUAGUGCUUUAGGAUUUGCAAAGCACUUUCCCUUAUAAGAGCCCUUGGAGGCAAAUACUAAAAUUAUUCUUAUCACCAUUUUAGAAAUGCAGAUACCAAGGCUCACAGAUUAAAGGAUUGCCCAUCUCUAGUAAAGUUGGGGCCAGGAUUGAAAUCUGGAUCUCCUGUCUCCUAGUCCAGUGUUCUUUUGUCAGACCUCUCAUUUUUAAUCCCCCCAAAUAUCAACAGAUUAGCAAGCCCUCUGUCUUCCUCUUUUUCAACAGAUGCAGCAUAUAAAUGUAUUUGCAGCCUGCAGAGAUACAGCCCUAAAAAAAUCAUUGAUGUCAAAGGUUCUCAGCAAGUCCCAGGAUCUUAAAUUGUCUGACACACAUUUAGAGUCACCUGCAAUACAAGAAGUAAGAAAGAAGAAAAGACUUCAGAAGAAUGAGAUGACAGGAUCCAAACUAAAUGAAAUGGCUCUUCGUCCUUCAGAAAUUCCAGAUGUGAAUGCUCAGGUAGAAGGUGAAUCCAGACUUGUUCUUAGAGCAGAAACAAAGAAGAGCCCCAAAAGAGCUCUAACCCCCUCAAAGAUGGCCAAGGAAAUGAAUGGGGCCUUGGAGUCUGAUGGUUUGAAACCUGUAUAAUAGUGGCCGUCCAACUCUUGGUACUUAUUAGUGAUUGCAUCAGGAUUGCUCCUGUUGGCAAAUCAAUAAAGAAUAAUAUCACUGCUGUUCA